rnacentral:rRNA from 1 species
GAUCAUUAUUGAUUAUGAAUCGUUGCCCUCUGUGCUGGCUCCGGCAAGUGCACGCUGGUGACUUUCAUCCAACACCCUUGUGAACCUUUGGCCUCUUGCUAGCUUCGGUUGGCAGAGGAUUUAUACACAAACUCGAAUGUAAUGAAAAACUUUGUUGUGUGCGCAAGCACUAAUGUACAACUUUCAACAACGGAUCUCUUGGCUCUCGCAUCGAUGAAGAACGCAGCGAAAUGUGAUAAGUAAUGUGAAUUGCAGAAUUCAGUGAAUCAUCGAAUCUUUGAACGCACCUUGCACCCUUUGGUAUUCCGAAGGGUAUGCUCGUUUGAGUGUCAUUGUACUCUCACACUCUCCAAUUCGAAUUGGGGAGUUGUGGACUUGGGUGUUGCUGCUUCACUGUCAGGCUCACCUCAAAUGUGUUAGUACAACUCUUGGUUAGACAUAGUACGGUGUGAUAAGUAUCUUCACUGUGCCUCGCAAGAGGGUGGCUAAUCGGGAGCUGUGUGCUUCAAACAGUCUUUGGACAAUGUCUGACAACUUGACCUCAAAUCGAGUAGGACUACCCGCUGAACUUAAGCAUAUCAAUA